GAGAGAGAAAGAUGGAGGGAGAGAGAAGGUGGAGAGAGAGAGAAUGGGAGAGAGAGAAAGGUGGAGAGAGAUAGAAGGGGAGAGAAAGAUGGAGGGAGAGAGAAGGGGAGAUAGAGAAAGGUGGAUGGAGAGAAGGGGAGAGAGAGAAAGAUGGGGGAGAGAGAGAAAGAUGGAGGGAGAGAGAAGGGGAGAGAGAGAGAAAAAGGUGGAGGGAGAGAGAGAAUGGUGGAGGGAGAGAGAGGCAUAGAGAGAGAGAAGGGGAGAGAGAGAAAGGGAGAGAGAAAAAGUUGGAGGGAGAGAG
ensembl:lncRNA